rnacentral:misc_RNA from 1 species
AAAGUCGUAACAAGGUUUCCGUAGGUGAACCUGCGGAAGGAUCAUUAACACGUAUCCAAACGUUAAAACAACCCUGUGAACCUUCACGCGUGUUCUUCCAGGACGCCAAAACAGCAAUCUCUCGUAAAACAGGCGCUAAAGAAUUACAGAUAUUGAUUUGAGAGAAAUCUGUCAGUCGGUGGACGCUGGAAUUGAGCACUAGAUAAAGCACCCUGGUACCUUCUGAUCUAUCACCAAUGUCUGAAAGUGUCAAGUGAUGGUCAGGGUAACGCAGUCAACGAUCGCUGUAGGUCCUCACGACCGGCGACCGGGGUGGAGGCUAACCGCCCCUACGUCACCCCUAUGUACCCUCCGGGACUUGGCGAAAGCUGACUCCGUCAUAAAUCGAACAACUGUUAACAAUGGAUAUCUUGGUUCUC